rnacentral:rRNA from 1 species
GAAGUUACGGUACCCGGUGCCGGCCCAAGCGACCUACGUGCAAUACUCGAUGGAGUUGACGGGGAGGAGUGCAGGGUAGAGGGGUGAGAAAGGAGAGACUCGACGAAGGCGAGUGAAGUGAGGUAACCUCCUGGAGGUGGCUAGUUCGUCCUUUGGGUCUGUCGGUACCGGCGGGGGUUGCGGGAGUGGCCGCGAAGCCACAGGGCGCCGCCGCCACGCUCGUACUCGCCGAGGCACUGCCGGCACACGGGCGCGAGGCACCACCGUCGCCGUGGUUGCAGGUCCUGCAGCAGGAACGCAGGGUACGCCACGCCGCAACAGCCCUGUCGUCGGGGACAACACCGAUGCCGCCUCCCACUGCUGGCCUCCGCCAAGCCCGUCGACCGCCACGGUGUCCCCGACCACCUACUCGAGCACCUCCUCCGCGAGCAAACCACGAGCGUCGUGCCGGAACAGCAGCCGCUGUUCUUGGUGGGCUCUAGUCCUUUUCGCGGACCACAACCAGAUGAGGUACGGGGUAAACGAGAGAACGGUUACAGCAAAGGCUUCCAAAUGACCCUCGUCCGUGAGCUCGAUCGAGGUGAAAAGUUACUCGAGCAAGUAGCACAGUCGGACCUACCCCUGAAGAACGUCGUCUGAAACCGUUCCUGUUUUCUUCACCUAGGUAAGUGAUCCUCCGAAGAUCUAUAAGUGAGUUUCUACUACCUUGAUUUGUUCUUUCUCCUGUAAGUUGACCCAGACUGGUCCAGCCUGAUGUACUAUCUACCCCGUUGACUGUUCGAAGAAGUUCAUCUCGAGUUGUGCUAGAGAUGUAGGAGGUUACCAGAGCGAACGCCGCAUAGACUCGAAGUGUCUUUAGAUUAGUCUGUGGUAGUCUCCCUCGAACCAAACCUAGGUUGGUCACAACAACCUUUGUGACGCUAUCGGGUCGUGCGACUUCGUAAUCGGUGACGUACCCGGCUCAUGUUGUUGGUUUCGCGCCAUCACGACCACCAACAAGUUCGUCUUCUUUCCAUGUACAUACUGGUCAUAACCUAGUGCCAGCGCGACUCUCUUUACAUACCCCACUGCUGAUAAGCGUUCUGUUACCGUCUUUAUCUUCGCCUCCCCCUAGAAGCAGGACUACCCUGUGAGCACUAUUUACCUGCGGGUCAACGUUAUCAAAUGAAGUCCCGUCCCAUGAGUGGCCGACUAAUGGGUAGUCUUCGGCUUACCUCUCGUUCUGAGAACUAGCUCGCAAGAAGACGAUAAUUCACGGGCAGUUAUCGUGUGGUAGAACAGCCAUGUUUCUUCUAAGUUGUUCUUGACCGCUUCCUUUUACACGAACUUUCCAAAGAACUGUUGGUUAGGCUGUAUCUUUUACAUGCUUUUACGAAGCGUCCUAACACCUCAAACCUCUUACUGUAAUAUCAUUUAAGGCGAUAACUUAGCGGCCUCAACAAACAAGAGUUUGGUGUCUCCCUCCCACCUCCCUUGUUGUAAAUGCCCCUAUUAGAUGCACUUUGUAACUAAGCGGAAGCCUUCCUACCUUCGUUACUUUGACGUCGUAUGUAGAAUUACGUUUCCUAUAAGGGUGGUCGUAGAGGGUCGAUAGAACAGGCGCUCCCUUGAAAACAAUCCCUAUUACAACAAAGACUCAAACCUUAUAAACCUCGGAUGGAAUCCUUGUUGCUGUUCCAGUAAUAUUUACUAGUCACGCCAAUAAACAACUCCUGGUUUCGUCGAAGUGAUUUACUUCCACCCCACCAACGACCUAUACGCAAAAACUUAUCGUAUAAAGACUGUACUGUUCCAAUAGGUGUCUCGAUGCGUGGCUUAGACAUACAUCAGGAAUGUAGUCGUACACCUUCGAGCCCCGAAGAUCUGAAACCUAUGUUCGUAAACCUCUACUGGCAUGUACGAAAUAAGUUGUUCAAAUAUACCAUCGUAUCUUUAUCCAAAUCAUUACGUACUCACAGAAUACAUGUUUACAUAACAGGCACCAACACAGGAAAAAUAGAUAAAUACAUUACAGGACUUUUAACAUAUUAUUUACCGACACACGUAGUGUGACCAUCGCUUAUCCGGAAAUCAGGGCCAAGCGUUUCCGGUAAUUAGGGCCGACACGUUGGCCCUGAUUUAUACGCGCUGAUUUCCGGGGGGGAAAUCAGCGCGGAGAAUGCUUGGCGCUGAUUUCCGGGCAGGUGCACCCGCGGUCCUCAGGCAGUCCCGCCUCCUGGAAAUCAGGGCCAAGAGCACCGAUUGGCCCUGAUUUCCGGAGGAGGCGUCCAAAUCCCAAAAUCGGGGGGAUUUGGACCAAAGAAAAAUUAAACA